GCCACACUAGACAUGGCGCUGGCCAGCGUGGUGGAGAGGCCGCUACUGGUGAACCGGCAUGGGUUUUUUGGACUCGAGGGUCAUGCAGAUCUGCUGGAUCUGGGUCCAGGGAGUCCCAGCGAUGGCCUGAGCCUGGCCACGCCCAGUUGGGGUGUUCCAGAGGAGCUGGGAAUUGAAAUGCUUCAUGGAACCACAACGCUGGCCUUCAAGUUCCAUCAUGGAGUCACAGUUGCAGCCGACACCAGGGCUACAGCGGGUGCUUACAUUGCUUCCCAGACGGUGAAGAAAGUGAUAGAGAUCAACCCCUACCUGCUGGGCACCACGGCUGGGGGUGCAGCGAAUUGCAGCUUCUGGGGGCGGGUGUUGGCUUGGCAAUGUCGAAUCUAUGAGCUUCGGAAUAAGGAACACAUCUCUGUAGCAGCUGCCUCCAAACUGCUUGCCAACAUGGUGUAUCAGUACAGAGGCAUGGGACUGUCCAUGGGUACCACGAUCUGUGGCUGGGAUAAGAGAGGCCCUGGCCUCUACUACGUGGACAGUGAGGAGAACCGGAUCUCGGGACCCACCUUCUCUGUAGGCUCUUGCUCUGUGUAUGCUUAUGGGGUCAUGGAUCGGGGCUAUUCCUAUGACUUGGAAGUGGAGUAGGCCUAUGAUCUGGCCCGUAGAGCCAUCUACCAAGCCACCUACAGAGAUGCCUCCUCAGGAGGUACGGUCAACCUCUACUACAUGUGGGCGGAUGGCUGGAUUCGAGUCUCCAGUGACAAUGGAGCUGAUCUACAUGACAAGUAUAGUGGAUCUACCCCCUGAAGGAGGGCGGAUGUGGCUACUUGCAUUUUUUGGGGUGACUGUCAUUGGCAAUAUGGAUACAGUGCCCCAUCCUGUCUAUAGUGGAGGGUCCUCAAUUGUAUCAGUCCUUUCUUUU